CCUACGGGUGGCAGCAGUGGGGAAUAUUGGGCAAUGGGCGCAAGCCUGACCCAGCAACGCCGCGUGAAGGAUGAAGGUUUUCGGAUUGUAAACUUCUGUCGCGAGGGACGAAGAAUGACGGUACCUCGUAAGAAAGCACCGGCUAACUACGUGCCAGCAGCAGCGGUAAUACGUCGGGGGCAAGCGUUGUCCGGAAAGACUGGGCGUAAUGGGAGUGUAGGCGGACUUGUAAGUUAGAUGUGAAAUCCUACGGCUUAACCGUAGAACUGCAUCUAAAACUGGGAGGCUGGAGUGCAGGAGAGGUGAGAGGAAUUCCUAGUGUAGCGGUGGAAUGCGUAGAUAUCAGGAAGAACAC
rnacentral:rRNA from 1 species